rnacentral:rRNA from 1 species
GACUGGAGUGGCGCGUGGGAAUCUACCCAACUCUGCGGAAUAACUCAGGGCAAACUUGGACUAAUACCGUAUACGUCCUUCGGGAGAAAGAUUUAUCGGAGUUGGAUGAACCCGCGUUGGAUUAGCUAGUUGGUGGGGUGAAGGCCUACCAAGGCGAUUAUCCAUAGCUGGUCUGAAAAGACCAUCAACCACACUGGGACUGACACACGGCCCAGACUCCUACGGGAGGCAGCAACGGGGAAUAUUGCACAAUGGGCGCAGGCCUGAUCCAGCCAUGCCAUGGGAGUGAGGAAGGCCCUCUGGUUGUAAAGCUCUUUCAACGGUGAAGAUAAUGACGGUAACCGUAGACCAAGCCCCGGCUAACUUCAUGCCCCCAUCCGUGGUCAUACGAACGGGGCUAGCGUUGUUCGGAAUUACUGGGUGUAUACCGGACGUAAGCCGAUCGAUCACUUAGGGGUGAAAUCCCACGCCUCAUCCCUGGAACUGCCUCUAAUACUGGCGAUCUGGAAUUCCAGAGAGGUGAGUGGAAUUCCCAGUGUGGAAGUGAAAUUCGAAAAUAUUCGAAUGAACACCAGUGGAGAAUGCUGCUAUCUGGGUCGAUACUGA